GUGAGGUUCAUCACUGUGAACAACUGCGUGUGCAAAGAGUCCAACAGUUUAAAAACAAUGUUUCUCAAUGUACAAUUGCAAGGAAUUUAGGGAUUUCAUCAUCUACGGUCGAUAAUUUCAUCAUCAGCGGUGCGACGACUGGAUGUAAAAAGCAGAACGCCGAAAAACUGGAAAUCUGAAGCCUCCGUCCUGUUAUCUGCUCAUUCUGCGGCAUAUACCCUUGCUUCCCUUAGACGAGGUUAACAAAACACCUCAACCAACAGGCAGAGGAGUCAACCCAUAGAAGGGCAGAGCAACACAGACAGACACACCAUCAGCCCACGUCUCUUCCCCGUCCCUCUCUCCCCCUUUUCUCUUCACAAAUCCCAUGGGCCUAAACCCAGUGGAGCCAGUGGUGUUGUGAAGGCUGUGAUGCGUAAUGCAACACAAACACACAAGCGGCCUGUGAAUGCACUAAAGUCCAGGUGGAAUCAACCAAGCCUCCCACUUAGAACCCCCCCAACAGUCUUAUGAAAAUAAGAGAUAAAUCCUAACAGAGGAGACUUUUAUGACACAUGUUUAAGAGAAAAUACGAAAAAAUAUAAAAAUGAUAGGACACCAUGAA